rnacentral:rRNA from 1 species
GACGAAAGUCUGACGGAGCAACGCCGCGUGAGUGAAGAAGGUUUUCGGAUCGUAAAACUCUGUUUUCAGGGACGAAUGUGUGGAUUGUAAAUAAUGAUCCAUAAUGACGGUACCUGACAAGAAAGCCACGGCUAACUACGUGCCAGCAGCCGCGGUAAUACGUAGGUGGCAAGCGUUGUCCGGAAUUAUUGGGCGUAAAGCGCGCGCAGGUGGGAUAAUCAGUCUGAUGUUAAAGUUCGGGGCUUAACCCCGUGAAGCAUUGGAUACUGUUAUUCUUGAGUGCAGGAGAGGAAAGUGGAAUUCCUAGUGUAGCGGUGAAAUGCGUAGAUAUUAGGAGGAACACCAGUGGCGAAGGCGACUUUCUGGACUGUGUCUGACACUGAGGCGCGAAAGCCAGGGUAGUGAACGGGAUUAGAUACCCCGGUAAUCCUGGCCGUAAACGAUGGGUACUAGGUGUUGGGGGUAUCGACCCCUCCAGUGCCGGAGUUAACGCAAUAAGUACCCCGCCUGGGGAGUACG